rnacentral:rRNA from 1 species
AGAGUUUGAUCCUGGCUCAGAUUGAACGCUGGCGGCAUGCCUUACACAUGCAAGUCGAACGGCAGCACGGGAGCUUGCUCCUGGUGGCGAGUGGCGAACGGGUGAGUAAUACAUCGGAACGUACCCUGAAGUGGGGGAUAACGUAGCGAAAGUUACGCUAAUACCGCAUAUUCUGUGAGCAGGAAAGAGGGGGAUCGCAAGACCUCUUGCUUUAGGAGCGGCCGAUGUCGGAUUAGCUAGUUGGUGAGGUAAAGGCUCACCAAGGCGACGAUCCGUAGCGGGGUCUGAGAGGAUGAUCCGCCACACUGGGACUGAGACACGGCCCAGACUCCUACGGGAGGCAGCAGUGGGGAAUUUUGGACAAUGGGCGCAAGCCUGAUCCAGCCAUGCCGCGUGAGUGAAGAAGGCCUUCGGGUUGUAAAGCUCUUUCGGUGGGGAAGAAAUUGCUUCGGUUAAUACCUGGAGUAGAUGACGGUACCCGCAUAAGAAGCACCGGCUAACUACGUG